rnacentral:RNase_MRP_RNA from 1 species
CCCUCGGUCGACAAAUCGCCAUUCGAAGCUUACAGACAGAGACACCGCCUAGCGGCGUCUCUCUCACUCGAAAUGCUUUGGGAGAAAGUCCCCGGACGACUCCUUUUGGGAGCUUGCGGAAACGCGCCGCCAUAAAAGCACUGCGGCUGACCUUUGCUCCUUGGCCCUCUGGCGGUGCACGCCCUGCCAACCGCUACAUCGUCCUCUCGCACACCGAUGUCGGCUCCGUUUUGCACAUGUUUGGACGCCAUGGAUGAAGAUAUGAGUCCGAGCCGGACAUGUGCGGAUGGAUGUCGGCCGCGGUGACGGGUGGUCUGAUGGUUGGCGGACGUGUUGUGUCGCCAGAGCGGUAUCGGGAGCAGAGGACUUUUGUCGAGGUUCAUAGGUAUGCGAUUGCCCGGCGCAAGCUGGGUUACUCGAUGGGGCUUAUUCUUGAGGCGAGG